rnacentral:ncRNA from 1 species
AAAAGCUUGGUCCUGGCUUUUCUGUCGCCUCCGGCUAGAUUUACACAUGCAAGUAUCCGCACCCCUGUGCGAAUGCCCUGACAGCUCCCCUUCCCGGGAGCAAGGAACUGGUAUCAGGCACUAUUAAUAUUUUCGCCCAUGACACCUUGCUCGGCCACACCCUCACGGGUAUUCAGCAGUGAUAAACAUUAAGCCAUAAGUGAAAACUUGACUUAGUUACAGCCCCUAGGGCCGGUAAAACUCGUGCCAGCCACCGCGGUUAUACGAGAGGCCCAAGCUGACAGCCAUUGGCGUAAAGAGUGGUUUAGUAAAUCUUAAACAUAACUAAAGUCGAACGCCCCCAAGACCGUUAUACGUGUUCGGAGGUAUGAAGUCCAGCUACGAAAGUGACUUUAACAGACCUGACCCCACGAAAGCUGUGAAACAAACUGGGAUUAGAUACCCCACUAUGCUCAGCCCUAAACUUUGAUAGUUUAACUACACUCACUAUCCGCCCGGGUACUACGAGCUUUAGCUUAAAACCCAAAGGACUUGGCGGUGCUUAAGACCCACCUAGAGGAGCCUGUUCUAUAACCGAUACCCCCCGUUUAACCUCACCCUCUCUUGUUCAUACCGCCUAUAUACCGCCGUCGUCAGCUCACCCUGUGAAGGAUCUGUAGUAAGCAAAAUUGGCAUGGCCCAAAACGCCAGGUCGAGGUGUAGCGUAUGAGAGGGGAAGAUAAUGGGCUACAUUUCCUAACCAGGAAACACGGACAAUAUUCUGAAAUGACUAUUCUACAAGGAGGAUUUAGCAGUAAAUGAGAAGCAGAGAGUCUCAUUGAAGUCGGCCCUAAAGCGCGCACAUACCGCCCGUCACUCUCCCCGAAAUAAGAAACAUCUUAUACCUAAUUAGCCCUAUAAACAUAAGGGGAGGCAAGUCGUAACAUGGUAAGUGUACCGGAAGGUGCACUUGGA